GAACUGAGACACGGACCAGACUCCUACGGGAGGCAGCAGUGAGGAAUAUUGCACAAUGGAGGAAACUCUGAUGCAGCAACGCCGCGUGGAGGAUGACGCAUUUCGGUGUGUAAACUCCUUUUAUAAGGGAAGAAAAUGACGGUACCUUAUGAAUAAGCACCGGCUAACUCCGUGCCAGCAGCCGCGGUAAUACGGAGGGUGCAAGCGUUACUCGGAAUCACUGGGCGUAAAGGACGCGUAGGCGGAUUGGAAAGUCAGAUGUGAAAUCCUACAGCUUAACUGUAGAACUGCAUUUGAAACUUCUAAUCUAGAGUAUGGGAGGGGGAGAUGGAAUUAGUGGUGUAGGGGUAAAAUCCGUAGAUAUCACUAGGAAUACCGAAAGCGAAGGCGAUCUCCUGGAACAUAACUGACGCUGAGGCGUGAAAGCGUGGGGAGCAAACGGGAUUAGAUACCCCGGUAGUCCACGCCCUAAACGAUGAACACUAGUCGUCGGGAUGCUUGUCAUCUCGGUGAUGCACUUAACAGAUUAAGUGUUCCGCCUGGGGAGUACGGUCGCAAGAUUAAAACUCAAAGGAAUAGACGGGGACCCGCACAAGUGGUGGAGCAUGUGGUUUAAUUCGAAGAUACGCGAAGAACCUUACCUAGCCUUGACAUUGAUAGAACACCCUAGAGAUAGAGUGGUGCCCUUCGGGGAACUUGAAAACAGGUGCUGCACGGCUGUCGUCAGCUCGUGUCGUGAGAUGUUGGGUUAAGUCCCGCAACGAGCGCAACCCUCGUCCUUAGUUGCCAGCAGGUUAUGCUGGGCACUCUAAGGAGACUGCCUUCGCAAGGAGGAGGAAGGUGAGGACGACGUCAAGUCAUCAUGGCCCUUAUGGCUAGGGCUACACACGUGCUACAAUGGGGCGUACAGAGUGUUGCGAUACCGCGAGGUGGAGCCAAUCACUUAAAGCGUCUCUCAGUUCGGAUUGAAGUCUGCAACUCGACUUCAUGAAGCUGGAAUCACUAGUAAUCGUAGAUCAGCAAUGCUACGGUGAAUACGUUCCCGGGUCUUGUACUCACCGCCCGUCACACCAUGGGAGUUGAUUUCGCCCGAAAUUGGGAAGCUAACCUUCGGGAGGCUACCACUUACGGCGGAAUUAGCGACUGGGGUGAAGUCGUAACAAGGUA
rnacentral:rRNA from 1 species